rnacentral:rRNA from 1 species
UACGUAGGGUGCAAGCGUUGCCCGGAUUUAUUGGGCGUAAAGCGCUCGCAGGUGGUUCAUUGCGUCGUGCGUGAAAGACCCCGGCUCCAACUGGGGAGGGUCGGUGCGAAACGGGUGAACUAGAGGCCAGUAGGGGGAGUGCGGAAUUCCGGGUGUAGUGGUGGAAUGCGUAGAGAUCCGGAGGAACACCAGCGGCGAAGGCGGCAUCCUGGACUGGUCCUGACACUCAGGAGCGAAAGCGUGGGGAGCGAUCGG